AGAGUUUGAUCCUGGCUCAGAUUGAACGCUAGCGGGAUGCUUUACACAUGCAAGUCGAACGGCAGCACGAGAGAGCUUGCUCUCUUGGUGGCGAGUGGCGGACGGGUGAGUAAUAUAUCGGAACGUGCCCAGUAGCGGGGGAUAACUACUCGAAAGAGUGGCUAAUACCGCAUACGCCCUACGGGGGAAAGGGGGGGAUCGCAAGACCUCUCACUAUUGGAGCGGCCGAUAUCGGAUUAGCUAGUUGGUGGGGUAAAGGCUCACCAAGGCAACGAUCCGUAGCUGGUUUGAGAGGACGACCAGCCACACUGGGACUGAGACACGGCCCAGACUCCUACGGGAGGCAGCAGUGGGGAAUUUUGGACAAUGGGGGAAACCCUGAUCCAGCCAUCCCGCGUGUAUGAUGAAGGCCUUCGGGUUGUAAAGUACUUUUGGCAGAGAAGAAAAGGCAUCCCCUAAUACGGGAUGCUGCUGACGGUAUCUGCAGAAUAAGCACCGGCUAACUACGUGCCAGCAGCCGCGGUAAUACGUAGGGUGCAAGCGUUAAUCGGAAUUACUGGGCGUAAAGCGUGUGUAGGCGGUUCGGAAAGAAAGAUGUGAAAUCCCAGGGCUCAACCUUGGAACUGCAUUUUUAACUGCCGAGCUAGAGUAUGUCAGAGGGGGGUAGAAUUCCACGUGUAGCAGUGAAAUGCGUAGAUAUGUGGAGGAAUACCGAUGGCGAAGGCAGCCUCCUGGGAUAAUACUGACGCUCAGACACGAAAGCGUGGGGAGCAAACAGGAUUAGAUACCCUGGUAGUCCACGCCCUAAACGAUGUCAACUAGCUGUUGGGGCCGUUAGGCCUUAGUAGCGCAGCUAACGCGUGAAGUUGACCGCCUGGGGAGUACGGUCGCAAGAUUAAAACUCAAAGGAAUUGACGGGGACCCGCACAAGCGGUGGAUGAUGUGGAUUAAUUCGAUGCAACGCGAAAAACCUUACCUACCCUUGACAUGUCUGGAAAGCCGAAGAGAUUUGGCCGUGCUCGCAAGAGAACCGGAACACAGGUGCUGCAUGGCUGUCGUCAGCUCGUGUCGUGAGAUGUUGGGUUAAGUCCCGCAACGAGCGCAACCCUUGUCAUUAGUUGCUACGCAAGAGCACUCUAAUGAGACUGCCGGUGACAAACCGGAGGAAGGUGGGAUGACGUCAAGUCCUCAUGGCCCUUAUGGGUAGGGCUUCACACGUCAUACAAUGGUCGGGACAGAGGGUCGCCAACCCGCGAGGGGGAGCCAAUCUCAGAAACCCGAUCGUAGUCCGGAUCGCAGUCUGCAACUCGACUGCGUGAAGUCGGAAUCGCUAGUAAUCGCAGAUCAGAAUGUCGCGGUGAAUACGUUCCCGGGUCUUGUACACACCGCCCGUCACACCAUGGGAGUGGGUUUCACCAGAAGUAGGUAGCCUAACCGCAAGGAGGGCGCUUACCACGGUGGGAUUCAUGACUGGGGUGAAGUCGUAACAAGGUAACCGUAA
rnacentral:rRNA from 1 species